ACCCAAAGACGUUUUAGCUAACCUGUUAAAGGAGGCGAGCGUUCAAGAUAUGGGGAGUGAUUGGGGUGAAGUCGUAACAAGGUAGCCGUAGGUGAACCUGCAGAAGGAUCA
rnacentral:rRNA from 1 species